rnacentral:SRP_RNA from 1 species
AUGCGGGCCCUGCGCGACGGGGCGCCAUGAACCAUGUCAGGCGGGGAACCGAGCAGCAUUAAGUGGUCUGCCGCGUGCGCCGCAGUCAGUCUGCAUCCG